rnacentral:rRNA from 1 species
GACGAACCGUGCGAACGUUGUUCGGAAUCACUGGGCUUAAAGGGCGCGUAGGCGGGCUAUCAAGUCCGGGGUGAAAUCCUCCAGCUUAACUGGAGAACGGCCUCGGAUACUGAUGGCCUCGAGGGGGAUAGGGGCACACGGAACUGUGGGUGGAGCGGUGAAAUGCGUUGAUAUCCAUAGGAACUCCGGUGGCGAAAGCGGUGUGCUGGAUCCCUUCUGACGCUGAGGCGCGAAAGCCAGGGGAGCAAAGCGGG